rnacentral:lncRNA from 1 species
AUACAAGACUAUACAACUUUCCUUCAUGAUAAAGUUGCAAGCCAACAAGUGACUACAUAAUUUUAUCAUGAUAAAGUUGCAAGCCAACACAAAAAAACCCGAAAAGAUUAACCCAUCAUUUUUAUUUUCUUUACUAAUCCUACCUUUGGCUUUUUCUUUUAUUUUGGAAAAUAUGAUAAUUAUUUUCUAGUCUCAAAACCUAAUUUCCUAUGGAUUAAUAAUAAUUUGUGAAUAUGAAAACAUUAUUCCAUAUUUUAUGCAUUUAAUAAAGGUUAAGUAUUUAUUUAAAUACCUUAAUGAUUAGGCAUUAAACAAAUACCUAAGUUUUUAUUAUUUUUCCUAUGGUACAAGAAUUUUAAUGCAUAUAGGAAAAUAAAACAAUCCUAACAAAAUUGGUUUCACUAAUUUUGGACACUCCUAGAAAUUUCUGUUAUUUAAAUGGUGAUAUACAAAUUUAAUCUAUUAUUCUAACAAAAGAAAAUCUAAAAUUUAUCCCAAAACCCCCGGCCCAACUUUUCUCACUCGCUCCCUCUCUACCCUCUCUCACUCGUGCUGGGCCCGCAGGUCGGGUCCACCUUCUCCUCCUAUUCCUUGUACCCGUCGGCCACUGGGCCCUCUGGGCCGAUUCUCUUUCCCCCUCCUCCAUUCCUACUUCGGUGCUGGCCCAACGGCCCAACUCCCUUUUUCUUUCUUUUCCGCGGCACCUGGCCUGCCACACCGGCCCAUCGGCCUGCUAGACGCCGGCCCACCAUGCUUCCGCUGCGCCCGGCCGGUCUCUCCUCUUCCCCUUCUGACGUGCGGCCCCCCGACGCCAGCGCCUUCUUCCUCCUCGCGCCAAAACCGAGCGCGGCAGGGGGCGGUGCGACUCGCCAGCCGGCACCUCACCGGCGACGGGGCUGGGCUGGGGAGGCAUCCCCAAGCCACAACGCACCCGUGGGUGGCGGCGGCUCCCCGGGAGAUGGCCGGAGCUACCCUCUCAAAAGCGGCGGGCGGUGUGACCGACGGCCAGCUGUGGCCAAGCACGGCGACGGCGUAACUCACCUCCCCAACUACCCCUACAGCUUCCUAGUACCCCACGAGCUUACCUACGGCUGACCACAAGGAAGGAAAACAACGGCAAGGUGAAGCUCACCGCGAGCAGGAGGUCCGGCGGUGGCGGAUGGAAACGGCGGCGGUUAAGAACUCGCCGGCAAAGAAGCUGGACAACAAGUUGACACGGCUGUUGGUAAGGUGUAAGCGGAGGUGUGGACGGAAGGAAUCGACGGGGGAGGUGUUGUGGCGGUGGAAUUUGAUCGGCGGUGGCAGCUGUGCAGAGGACUUACGGGCGGCGGUAAAAAUAGUGCGGUAAGAAGCGGUGGCGGGAGCGGUAGUUAUACGAAGAUCUUACCGCGCACAUGGGUGACACCGUGGCCUAGUGGUAGACUGGCGUGGUGAAGAGGGGGCCUUAGGUGUUGAGCUGGCGGACGGGCGAGCUGCUGGCGGUGACACGUCUCGCCACCUCUGUUUCCGUCUCCCCCUUUCUUUCUUUCAUCAGAAAGUUCAGAGCCUCCCCACGGCUGAUUUUGCAUCCAACAGUCCACAAGUCGCUUAAGCAAAGUUGAAGAUAAACUUGGGCUCUUUGAUUUAUAUUUAAACUUCCUCCCGAGAUAAACAUCCUAAGGUUGCCAAUUUUGAAUUCCUUUCUCGGUUCAACUGAAAUGCCCUGAAAUUUUGGAUUCAGUUCGACAGUCACUGUGCAUGGCCAUUUACCCUUCUUUUAAUUCAUUUUCAGUGGCCCACACUCAUUCUUCUUAGUCCAACUACUAACCAUUCAUGCUCUACAACUAUCAGAGAUCCCAUUUUGCUCAUAAACACUUAUACCUUUUGCACUACAUGCUCCUGAAUUUACCUCCAAACUUAGCUACUGAUUGCUAUUUUCAGACUUAGAAAAAGGUUCAGUUCAGCAGUUAGGCCGAAAAUGUCAAAGUGCUGAUUUUGAGCCUCCAUUUGAAUUUGAUCCCUUUACUAUUCUUGACCAGCAACAUCCUAUUAUACUUUUCCAAAGAUCAUACUUGAUUGUUGUGUAGUUGCUUUGGUCCACUUAUUUGGAAAAUUUGACAGAAAUUGAUUUUCAAGUUGGAUACUUGCACUGUUUUUCUGAAGUUGCUAUUUUCGGAUGGUGAAUAGUGCUUCCCUGAUAUCAUUUUUCAUUUGUAGUUCUUGAGAGGUUUAGGACUAGGAUUAGUCUCCAAUCUUGAUCCCUGAAGUUUUAAACACUCUCAAGCCUUCCUUUCAUAUUUUUGCCAAAUUUUUCUUAAUUUAGAUUCAAAAAUUCAAAUUUUGGUCAUAUUUGACUUGAAUUUGACUUUUAGUCAAUUUCUUCUCGUUUUCUCCACAAUUCACCUUUAACUUUUCUUAGUCCCCUUUGAUUAUUGAAACACCAGGUGUUACAACCUCUUCCCCUUAACAGAAUCUCGUCCCGAGAUUCCAGGUGUUAAACUCUCAGUUUGAAACACCAGGUGUUACAACCUCUUCCCCUUAACAGGAAACUGCGUCAGAUAAAACAUCUUUCUCUUUUUUGUAUAAAGAAAGUGGGGUGGUGGCUCUUGUUUAUCUGAUUUCGACAGUUUCAAAUAGCUUAGGAUAUUUGGACUCUAAGUCUUCGGCCUGCUCCCAAGUAGCUUCAUCUGGAGUAGGAUUUUUCCACUGCACCUUGUAAAAUUUAAUACUUCAGGUUCGUGUAUCUCUUGUCUUUUGAUCCAGAAUUUUAAUAGGCCUUUCCUCAUAGGUCAGGUCUAGCUCAUAGGUCAGGUCUAGCUCGAGCUCAACUUCCGGAUCUUCUAGAAUUUCUUCUGGAGCUCUUAGGCAUUUCUUAAGCUAGGAUACAUGAAAUACAUCAUGUAUAGAAGCAAGUUGGUCUGGCAACAAAAGUUUGUAUGCCACCGGACCUUUUCGUUCCAGAAUCUCAUACGGACCAAUAUACCUCAGAGCUAGUUUACCUUUUACUCCAAAACGUUGCACCCCUUUCAUCGUAGAUACCUUCAGGUACACAAAGUCUCCGACAUGAAAUUCUAAAGACCAUCUUCUUUUAUCUGAAUAACUCUUUUGUCGGGACUGAGCUAUUUCUAGAUGUUUACGAAUCUUUUGGACCUUUUCUUCAGUUUCCAUAACCAAAUCCGAUCCCAAUUGUGUCCUUUCUCCUAUUUCUGACCAAUUCAAGGGGGUUCGGCAUCUUCGACCAUACAAGGCUUCGAAAGGUGCCAUUUUAAUACUAGCUUGAUAGCUAUUAUUAUAGGAGAACUCAGCUAGGGGCAAACAUUCGUCCCAUAGCUUAGAGAAGGUAAGGACACAAGCUUGUAACAUGUCUUCCAAGAUUUGGUUGACUCUCUCUGUUUGUCCCCCUGUUUGAGGAUGAUAGGCAGAGCUUCUAAUCAGAGUAGUCCCCAUAUCUUUUUGCAGUUGUUCCCAAAACCUGGAAACAAACUGGGAGCCUCGAUCGGAAAUAAUUGUCUUGGGUACCCCAUGCAGAGAUACAAUCCGUGCCAUAUAGAUUUUCGCAUACAUUGAUACUGGAUAUGUAGUCUUGACGGGAAUGAAAUGGGCUGAUUUAGUGAGUUGGUCAAUAAUGACCCAUAUGGAAUCAUACCCUUUUGAAGUAGUAGGCAACCCAACUAUGAAGUCCAUGGAAAUAUCUUCCCACUUCCAGAUAGAAAUUUCCGAAGGCUGAAGCAAACCAGCCGACUUUUGUAAGAUCAGUUUAACUCUUCGGAGUUGUCGCAUUCAGCUACAUAUCUUGCAAUUUCAGGCUUCAUCAUCACACACCAAAAUCUCUGAUUCAAAUCUUGAUACAUUUUGUUGCUUCCGGGAUGAAUGGCGAACUUGGACAGGUGUGCUUCGUCCAAAAUCAUCUUCCUUAAGUUUUUAUCCUGAGGAACUACAAUCCUUUUCUUGAAAUAUAGUCCUCCAUCCUUUUCUUGAGUGAGUUCAGAAAUUUUUCCUUCUGCUUUCUGUUUGUGAAGUACCUUUACCCAUGGAUCCUCCUUCUGGGCUGUUAUAAUUCUUUCCUUUAGAGUGUCUUGCAUGGUAAUGUUCUGGAGGGUACCUUGCGUUAAUAUUUCCAAGCUUAAAUCUUCUAAUUCUUCACACAGGGUCUUAAGGCUAGAUUGAAUAGUGGUGUAGUGGCAUUGGGCCUUCCUGCUCAAAGCAUCAGCCACCACAUUAGCCUUAGCAGGAUGGUAGUGGAUUUCUAACUUAUAAUCUUUAAUUAGUUCCAACCACCGUCUCUGCCUUAUAUUUAAGUCCAUUUGAGUGAAAAUGUACUUUAAGCUUUUGUGGUCAGUAAAGAUACGACAAUCACUACCUAAAAGGUAGUUCCACCAUAUAUUUAAUGCAUGGACUACAGCAGCAAGCUCCAAAUCAUGGGUAGGGUAAUGCUCUUCAUGUCGCUUUAGUUGUCGAGAAGCAUAAGCAAUGACUCUACCUUCUUGCAUAAGAACACACCCUAUCCCUGUCCCUGAGGCGUCACAGUACACAUUAAAGGGCUUCUCUAAAUCAGGUUGAGCCAGUACUGGGGCUGUAGUUAGUAGUUUCUUUAAUGUUUGAAAUGAUUCUUCACAUUCGGGGCUCCAUCCAAAUUUCACCACUUUCUUUAACAACUCCGUGAUUGGCUUGGAGAUUUUUGAGAAGUUGGGAAUGAACCUACAGUAAUACCCGGCCAUUCCUAAGAAACUUCUUACUUCAUGGACAGAUGUUGGUGGUUUCCAAUCCAAUAUGUCCUUGACUUUUCCAGGAUCUGCUUCAAUUCCUUUUUCGGACAGAACGUGCCUAAGGAAUGGAACUUUCUUUAACCAGAAUUCACAUUUACUAAACUUGGCAUAUAACUGGUGUUCCCGGAGUCUGUUUAGAACAAUACGCAGAUGCUGCGCAUGUUCCUCCUCAUUUUUAGAAAAAGACUAGGAUAUCAUCAAUAAAGACGACCACAAAUUUGUCUAAUUCUGGCACGAAUACUGAAUUCAUGAGGUACAUAAAAUGCGCUGGGGCAUUUGUCAGUCCGAAGGACAUAACCAAAUAUUCAUAUAAUCCGUAUCGGGUUGAGAAGGCUGUUUUAGGUAUGUCUUCGGGCUUUAUCUUAAUCUGAUGAUAUCCUGACUGAAGGUCAAUUUUUGAAAAGACCUUGGCUCCAGCUAGUUGGUCGAACAACAAGUCAAUCCGUGGUAACGGAUAUUUGUUCUUAAUGGUUACCGCAUUCAAGGGGCGGUAAUCCACACACAACCUCAAGGUGCCAUCUUUCUUUUUAACAAACAGUGCGGGGCAGCCCCAUGGCGAAGUGCUAGGCCGGACAAAACCUUUAUCUAGUAAUUCUUGGAGUUGAACUUUUAAUUCUGCUAACUCCUUAGGUGACAUUCGAUAUGGUCUUCUGGAGAUGGGAGUAGUGCCAGGUUCUAGCUCAAUAGUAAAUUCUAUCACUCUAUCAGGCGGUAAUCCAGGAAGAUCUUCUGGAAACACAUCUACAAACUCAUUAACCACAGGAAUAGAUUCUAGAGUCACCGCUCUAGUCUUUUUAACCAUCUGGUCCAGACAAGGACGAGCGGGUAAUUGGAGCUUAAAAGGAUGGCCUCGGUUGUCCCUCAUACUAACGAUCCGGUUAUCCACAUCAAUUUGAACUUUAUGUUCUUUCAUCCAAUUUACCCCCAAAAAAUAUCUAUUCCUUGGUCUUCCAAGAUUAAAGGAUAAGCACCCACCUUAUUUCCUCCUAAAUUCAAUAUCACAUUGCGAGCUACCUGAUUUGUAUUUUGAGUAGCUCCAGUAGCUUGAAUAGCAUAUUUGAUGUUUAAGGUGUGUACUUCUAAUUGGUGUUGCUUAACAAACUCUCUACUUAUAAAAGUAUGUGAGGCACCCGAAUCAAAUAGAACCAUGGCAGGGUAGUCAUUGACAGGGAACGUACCUGCCAGAAUAGGUUCGCCUUCUGGAAUCUCUUCUACAUUCAUAUAGUGUGCUUGCCCCAUCUUGGUAUUCAGAAAUUUGCGGCGAACAAACUUUUGACCGGCACCCUGACCACAGGUUUGAGCCUUCAUAUUCACGUUUCCCCCAACUUUGGGAAAACAGCAAUCCUGGGCAAAGUGUCCCGGCUUUCCACAAUAAAAACAAUCUUGUGGGUUCCCCAAAGGAGUAGGACUGCGAAACCCAAGAGGCGGCGCACUUACAGGAUGAGGAAUAUUGGUAGGAUUUCUGAUAUUCCAGGGCUGAAGUGUCCUCUAUUGAAAAGAAGGUCGAUACGCGGGUCGAGGAGGACCUCGGUAUACCACUUUCAUCCUCUGCGGGGCAUUCCCGAAGGUUCCAAAAGAAGUAUUUUUUCUCUUCAAGGAUUCUUCUUUCUUCAAAGUUUCAUCUAAGAUUCUCAGUUUCUCUUCUGCGGUAAUAGCCACGCUUACCACAGAACUAUAGUCGGCAAAGGUGCAGGUAGACAACUUCUCCUGCAUUCAUGCAUUAAGUCCUCGUAGAUAACAGUCUCUUUUCUUGGAUUCUGUGUUAACGUGUUCUGGAGCAUACUGGGUCAGGUGAUCAAAUUCAUUUGUAUAAUCCAGAAUACUACGAUUUCCUUGUUGUAGCCUCAAAAACUGUUCCAGUUUCAUCCGCAGAAUCCCUUCUAGCACAAACUGCGUUCGAAACGCUUCUGUUGAUGCCAGAUUUUGACAUGUAUGAAAUCGGCAUCAGGAGAGGAAGAAAUCAGGAGAUGCGGCAGGUUACAGAGGUCACAGUUGGAAAUCGGCCGAUUGAUGCUACAGUCAAGGAUCGGCCGAUUUCCCUUUAAGGGUGCAACUCCGCCUCGCCCGACCCCUGAGUCCUGGGGUCGGAUGCGCCCGACCCUCUGAGGGAGGGACUUCGCCUCACCCGACCUUAGGUCCUAGGGUCAGAGUAGUCAGAACCCUUGACAUGUGGGCCCUUGCCGAUUGGAGUUGGUAGAAAUCGGCCGAUUGGUAGGCUGGAGUAAUUGGGCCGGUGUGGGCUUGAAGUGGAUUAUGAAGAUAAAGAGGGAGUCAGCCCAUGAGAGCGUGGUGAUCGACCCAGUACGAGUCGUACUUGUAAAUAUUCGUUUUUUGUUUAAAAUUAGAGAUAGAGUUCUAGUCGGUUAAGAAGUCGUUUGUAACAGGCUAUAAAUAGCCACCCUUGUAGAUCUGUAAUCAUCAUCAAAUCAAUACAACAAACUACUAUUUCCUCGUACUUACUUUCAAGCUAGCGACUUCGCCAAUACUUUUCUUCUUCCUCACGAGUUCGUACGGGUUGGCGGGGCUGCAUCAACUUGACCUCCGGCCGAUCUUGUAAGUUCCGCUUAUCGAAUAGUUUCUAAGCUUUAACUUCGGGCGCAUCGCUGUCGUUUCGUUUAGAUUUAUUCACCAGUUAUCGAUAUUCACUAGAUUUCUAGGUUUUACCUGUUGUUCUAGUUUUAUCACCAGUUAUCCAGCUAGGAAUUGGAACUUUCGGCUUUCCUGUACUUUGUCAUUCGAUCUAUUCGUUUUACGUAUAGCCGAUUUAGAUUUGUUCCUAGUGUUGUCACUGUAGCGUUGUUUAGACUUCUCCAGUAGUCUUCUUUAUUAACGCUGCCCGGUAAUUGUUGGAGGUAUGCCCUAGAGGCAAUCAUAGAGAUGAUGAUAUUCCAUUUGUAUCCAUGAUUUGUAUGUUGUGUUCAUUGAAUAUCCAUUAAAGGCUACUUGAAUUGAUUUGCAAUUAUGUGAAUUGUAUGUAACUCUUUACUUGUAUGGUUAUUCUAAAGUUGUCCCUAGUCGGAGUUCAUGUGAGGACACACAUGAAUAUUAGACUAGCACAUGUAUUAGUUGAUGACUAUAUUUCACAAGUCAUGGACAUGGAGAUGUUGAACUAAUAAUGUGGACACAUGUGGAGACAUGUGCUAGGACUGACCCAACAUGAGAAGUAGUUCUUUCUUUAAACAACAUAUACGCUUUGUCCUUAGACCUGAGAUUGUCGCAUGUAUUCAAGAUGUGGAUCGACCUACUUAGGGGCUAUCAAAUGCUACGCCGUAACAGGGUAGUUAUAAAGGUAGCUUUCGGGUUUGUCAAGAAGCAUGCUAUGAGACAUGGUCAAUCAAGAUGGGAUUUGCCCCUCUUUGAUUGAGAGUGAUAUCUCUGGGCCCCUCGAGUGAUCAGAUCCGAAAAUGCAUGGCCAUGCUACGUACGGUUAAGAGUUAACCUACAAAGGGAUUCCGAAUCAUAGGAUCGAGAAAGAGCGGUCGGCUUGAAGCUAGACCAAAUAUCGUGAGGCAAAGGGAAUAGCAUGUAUAUUAUGUUGUGAUGGUUCGUCUGAUAUGAUCUUCGUGUGCGUAUAGGAGUUGGCACGUCUUGCUAGAGACCGCUACCGACUAUUGGGCCGAGUAGGAGUACUCGGGCCAUGUCUAUACGUAUCCGAACCCAUAGGGUCACACACUUAAGGGGCUGGAAGCCCAAUUCGGAUAUGAUCCGAGUUGGAUUAGGUUUAGAAGUACUAAUGGGCCUCUCAUAUGAUCUUCAUGUGCGUAUAGGAGUUGGCACGUCUACUGAUGAUUUUAGUAGAUAUGGCUAUGUCUACCUGAUGAGGCACAAGUCUGAAACCUUUGAAAAGUUCAAGGAAUUUCAUAAUGAAGUUGAAAAUCAGCAUGGCAAGAAAAUUAAGUCCUUACGAUCUGAUCGUGGAGGCGAGUAUUUGAGCCACGAGUUUAGCAAUCAUCUAAAGAGUUGCGGAAUUGUUCCACAACUUACGCCGCUUGGAACACCUCAGAGAAAUGGUGUAUCCGAGCGACGUAAUCGAACUUUGUUAGACAUGGUUCGAUCAAUGAUGAGCCAGCCGGACCUACCGUUGUCAUUUUGGGGAUACGCUCUAGAAACAGCAGCUUUCACACUUAAUAGGGUACCAUCUAAAUCCGUAGUUAAGACACCAUAUGAGAUAUGGACUGGAAAGGUUCCUAGUUUGUCUUUUCUAAAGAUUUGGGGAUGUGAAGUGUUUGUCAAGCGACUUCAGUCGGACAAGAUCACACCCAAGUCGGAUAAGUGCAUUUUCGUGGGAUACCCAAAGGAAACUUUGGGAUAUUAUUUCUACAACCGAUCAGAAGGCAAAGUGUUUGUCGCUCGGAAUGGGGUUUUCCUAGAGAAAGAGUUUCUCAAAGGAGAAAAGAGUGGAAAGACAGUGCAUCUUGAAGAAGUUCAAGAUGAGCCGAUCGGGCAAGAAUCAAUGAGUGAUGCUAACGUAGCAGAACAAGUUGAGAUACCCAUGGCAAGAGUGUUGGGAUACGAGGUAGGCUACACUAGCGCAAUUCAAAAAUUCUACCGCGUAUAACCAGGAAGAACUGCCGUAUAAGGAUCACGGGAUUACCACUCGACGCACUACUAGUGCGGAAGAUGUAGAUAUGCGUCGAUGCAGUGAAGACGAUCACGUAGUCGUACGUAGUCGAUCAACAUAGUCGUACGUAGUCGAUCACGUCCACCAGCUCCUCAGCAGCUCGUCCACGUGCAGCAAGAUCGCCUCCGGUACCGCGGCUCGUCGUUGGCUCGUCGUGGCUCGUCGGCGGCUCGUCCAAGUGCUGCAGGCGCAACACCUCCAAGGUAUCCACACGUGCAAAGAGGAAGCGUCGCAAGCCGGACUGCUAGAUCCGCGAGUUGCAACAGGCGAGGGCGUGGGAGGUGCGGCAGGUGUGUUUCUCCAAAAAGGUGUAAACCCUAGGGCGCCCCCACCCCUCUAUUUAUAGAGGUUCCUGACGGGCCUCUGGAUCCGAGGCCCAUUAGUACUUCUAAACCUAAUCCAACUCGGAUCAGAUCCGAAUUGGGCUUCCAGCCCCUUAAGUGUGUGACCCUAUGGGUUCGGAUACAGUCUCCCACUUGCACUAGAGUCAAUCUAGAAGGUACCUAAUACCCAUAGCUCUUACAUGCACAUCAUGCUUAGCCUGCGAGAGUGGUUUUGUCAACGGAUCAGAAAUGUUCAGAUCCGUGUGUAUUUUGCAUAUCUUGAUGUCACCCCGGUUAACGAAGUCUCGAAUGAGAUGAAAUCGCCGCAUUACGUGUUUGUUCUUCUGGUGGUUCCUUGGCUCCUUUGCUUGCGCAAUUGCCCCAUUAUUAUCACAGUAGAGAUUCAAUGGGCUGGACGCAUUCGGGAACAUACCAAGCACAAUAAGGAAAUUCCUUAUCCAAGCACAAUAAGGCCAUGUCUAUACGUAUCCGAACCCAUAGGGUCACACACUUAAGGGGCUGGAAGCCCAAUUCGGAUCUGAUCUGAGUUGGAUUAGGUCUAGAAGUACUAAUGGGCCUCGGACCCAGAGGCCCGUCAGGAACCUCUAUAAAUAGAGGGGUGGGGGCGCCCUAGGGUUUACACCUUUUUGGCGAAACACAUCUGCCGCGCCUCCCACGCCCUCGCCUGUUGCAACUCGUGGAUCUAGCAGUCCGGCUUGCGACACUUCCUCCCUGCACGUGUGGAUACCUUGGAGGUGUUGCGCUUGCAGCACUCGGACGAGCCGCCGACGAGCCAUGACGAGCCGCCGACGAGCCACGACGAGCCGCCGACGAGCCGCGGCACGAGGGCGAUCUUGCUACACGUGGACGAGCUACUGAGGAGCUGCUGGACGUUGACGUGAUCGACUACGUACGACUACGUUGAUCGUCUUCGCUAGAUCGACGCAAAUCUACAUCUUCCGCACCAGUAGUGCGUCGAGUGGUAAUCCCAUGAUCCUUAUACGGCAGUUCUUCCUGGUUUUACAUGGUAGAAAUUUUGAUUUGCGCUAGUGUGGCCUACCUCGUAUCCCAACAGUAAUCGGCUGUAUUAUAGCUGAUUUCUUUAUCACAGCAAAUCGGCCGAUUCGCUGAUAAGCUAUCUCGACAUCGGAACCUUAGCCGAUCACAACCUUUGGGAUCUGACACAUUUCUUUCCUUGCCAAUCAACAGGUCAGAUUGGCUGGCACGCCGCGCGAACCGCACCAGGGCGAUCACCCGAACAGGAGUUAAGCAGAUUCUCCCGGGUCGUGUGUCCGACGCUGGGAUUCCGAUCAGCCAAUUUCUAGCGCCAAGACACUUUUGGCACGCCCGGUGGGACAAAUACAACCGUCACUACGUCGAAAGCUACCGAAGUCUCGGAAGACAACGUCAUCGAAGUGACAGAAGCAGACCUCAGGGAUGACCAGAAGGAAGAAUUGGAGAAGCAGAUGGCAUACUACCGGAAGACGUGUCUGCAAUCCUUCAGUGGUACCAGAAGCGGGGAAACUAUCAAAAAGACUCCGUUUCCAACUUCCCGCCAGAUCACAAUCGCCGAGGACUCGGGCAAGAUGUCCGAGAUGGUUCAACAAUCUGUCUAUCAGGCUUUCAUUGAUCAAUCCCCGGUGAUUUCUAAUACGGUAUACAAUGCCGUCAUCAGCUCCCUGGCCAAUGGCGUGUCCCAAGGGUACCAGGGGCUGGCGUAUGCCCCACCUAUUAUGGCCCCGACUAGGAGUUAUUCAAAUGUACCUUAUUCGGCUCCUCAGCCGAUCCAAAUUCCAAUUGGAGGUCCCAGCGCUUCCUCAUCAUCGAUCCCUCUAGGGCCUAAUGACGCGCCAUAUCUCCGGCCGCAUCCCGUUCAGUUAUCCUCCGCGCAGUUUCCUCCUUUAAAUUUAAUGCCUUGGGGGGCACCAUCAGUAACGGCCGUCCAGGAUCAAUCAGCCAGCCAUGGAAGUCCUCAACUCCAGGCACCUUUCCAAUUGGCCGUUAGGCCGACGAUGCCACAGUAUCAGCCAGUCGCGCCGGAGAUGAGCAGGGGGGCAGAAGCAACUGAAAUACUUCGGAGCGUUGCGCCAAUCAUACUGUAUGACGAAGCGGCCGAUUCAUUCAAACAGCCGACCCUGACCACGUAGCCGGCUACGACACAUCAGGCGCCGCACGCUUUCGCCCAUCACCCGGUCAUCCCACCGCUAGUGUACCAACAUGAGCCGGUUCCCCAGCCGAUAGUCCAUCAGCAACAACCAGAUUGGACGACACGCAUAGCGGAGGUGAUUCAAGAGCAAUUCGGUUUAAAACCAAAGAUGCAGACCUACACAUACAAGACACCAUACCCGCCUACUUACGACUUACUGCCGUUUCCCCAUCGGUACAAAGUUCCCGAUUUCACCAAGUUUUCGGGGCUGGAUGACACCUCAACUGUGGAACACGUGAACAGAUUCAUCAUCCAAUGUGGGGAAGCAGCAGCGCAAGAUGCUCUAAGGGUGUGCCUUUUCUCAUCAUCCCUGUCUGGGUCCGCCUUCCAAUUGUUCACUACACUACCACCCAACUCGAUAAUUACGUGGGCUGAUCUAGAAAGGCAGUUUCACAAGAUACAUGAGAUGAAGCUUUCUGAUUUAACCAGCCUCAGACAGAGAAGUGACGAAUUGAUAUCCUCGUAUGUGCAGAGGUUCAGGGAGAUUAGGAACAAGUGCUACUCCCUAGCCCUGACUGAUGCACAACUGGCCGACAUAGCCUUCCAGGGUCUCCUGCCUCAUAUCAAAGAGAAAUACGCUUCGCAGGAGUUUGAGAGCUGAAGCCAAAUUGUCCACCGAUUGUCUGGUCAGGAAGUUCGCCCUUUUGAUCCACAAAGGAACUUCCAGAAGAAGGUGGCAUACUUAGAGGAAGUCGAAUUCGAAGAAGAAACAAAGAUCGGCCUGGCGGAAUGGAUUAAAGGGAAAACGCCGAUAUCAUGUCCAUUCGGAAAAAAGGAGCCGGAAACAUUCGGAUUUGACACAUCAAAGGCCGAUAAAAUUUUCGAUCUUCUUCUCCAAGAAGGACAGAUCAAACUUUCGCCAUACCACACGAUCCCAUCAGCCGAACAGCUAAAGAAUAUGAAAUAUUGCAAGUGGCAUAACGCCACCUCCCACGAUACAAAUGAAUGCAAAAUCUUCCGACAGCGGAUACAGUCGGCCAUCGAACAAGGCAGGCUCAAAUUCGAAAUCCCAACAAAGCCGGCCAAACCGAUGAAGAUCGACCAGCACCCCUUCCCCACCAACAUGGUUGACACGGGGAAGAAUUCGCUCCAAACCAAGGUGCUGACGUCCGAAUCGGCUAAGAGAAGCGGCACCGUGGACCCCAGAAAUCAAGCGACGCCCGAAGACAUCAAGGGGAAACGGCGGAUGGAGGAUGAAUACAACAGAUCAGGAGAACUGCGCAGGCCUGUCACUUCCAAAUUUUUGGUUGACAAAUAUCAACGGCAACAGGAACGCUCAAGAUCCCGGGAAGAGGCAAUGCGGCGGUAUGAAGAUCACUAGCGAUGCCCAUUCUUCAUUCACUGCUGGGAAAGCAACCUUAGGUUGCCAUCGGCCGAUAAUUGCCCUGAGUGCAAUGGCCUGUAUCGUAAUAAUCGGCCAUUCAGGAGAUCUCGCUCCAGAGAAGGAAGGCCGAAGCCGAUCAGCAGGAACUGGCGCGAACAAGAAGACAGGUGCUCUCCAGUGCGUGAUCGGCUGGGGUGCAGAAGUGACCGAUAUGACCGGUCGAAAGAUAGGCGCGAGCGAAGCGAUAGGCUGGGGGCAGAUUCGAUCGGCACAACCAACCAGAAAACAAGGUCAGCGUUCACGAUCGACUUGAAGAGAUGCCCGAUGCUCGGGUAUCAGACGAGAACCCCUUAGGACGCGAACCAGAAUGGGAACGCGCCAGGCCACGGACCAAACCAGUGAACCCCAGGUGGUGCCCUGAUGGAUUGACCAAGUCUCAAAAACGAAGAAUCCAACAUCUCCGCCAGUGGGAACAACAGGAGGAAGAGGAACGACAUACGGCGGAUGAGAGAAAUGGCAAGUCUCAGGUCUAGCGCCCCAAAAGAAAUGACAGGGGGGACGACGAAUUGGCAGCCGACAUCAGCAUGGUUUUCAUACUGCCGAUGGAAUUCAUGACUCCUGCCGACCGACAGAACAUGUCGGCAAUAGAAGAGCAGAUGGCACAAUUGGCUUUGGAGCCAAUGACAGCCACGUCCGAGAAGCUCGAAGAUGACAAACGACAACACCUGAAGGCAUUGUUCCUUAAGGGGCAUGUCAACGGCCGACCCAUCACCAGAUUACUAGUAGACGGAGGAGUUGCGGUUAACAUCAUGCCAUACGCCAUGUUCCGGAAGCUAGGGAAGAGUGAUGACGACCUGACCAGGACAGAUAUGAUGCUCAAGGACUUCAAAGGCAAUGUGUCCCCCGCCCGCGGCGCACUCUGCGUCGACCUCACCAUCGGCAGUAAGACCCUCCCUACUACUUUCUUUAUUAUUAAUGGCAAAGAGUCCUACAACAUGCUACUCAGCCGAGACUGGAUACAUGCAAAUUGCUGCAUCCCGUCUAUGAUGCACCAAUGCCUCGUACAAUGGGUCGGCGACAACAUCGAGGUGGUCAUCGCCGAUUCCGCAUACAGCGUCGCGGCGGCCGAUACGCAGCAAUGGAGCUGCGAGAACGUCAAGUGCAUAUCCAGGAGAAUAUGGGACACUGAUUUCCUGAAGGUGUCUGAUUUUGGCCUACAGCCCAUCCGAGCAGUCGGCUCAGAAGAUUCAGACUAAAUGGAUCAGUUUGCCCGGGAAGAUGGAAAGCUGGGACACGGGUUCACGUCGGCCGAUUCAUUAGAAAUGAUAGAUUUAGGCGAUGGCACCAAGCCAAGGCCGACAUAUAUUAGUGCAAAUUUGGAUCCGGAAUACAAAUGUAAAUUGACAAAUUUAUUAAGAGAGUUUAAGGAUUGCUUUGCUUGGGAAUACCAUGAGAUGCCCGGAUUAGACCGAUCUAUUGUCGAACAUCGGUUACCCAUAAAACCGGGAUAUCGGCCAUAUCAGCAACCUGCAUGGCGGUGUAAUCCAAAAAUUCUACCUGAUAUAAAAGCCAAAGUAACGAGGCUAAUCGAAGCAAAAUUUAUUCAGCAAUGCCGUUACGCCGAAUGGAUCUCCAACAUUGUACCUGUAUACAAGAAGAACGGAAAGCUCUGCAUAUGCGUUGAUUUUAGGAAUCUCAAUCAAGCCACGCCGAUGGACAGAUACCCAAUGCCGACGGCCGAUGUGCUGAUAGAUGCCGCCGCAGGACACAAAGUUAGUAGUUUCAUGGAUGGAAACGCUGGAUAUAAUCAGAUACUAAUGGCCGAAGAAGACAUAUCCAAGACGGCCUUCAGAUGCCCGGGUCACCUUGGUUUAUUCGAGUAGGUGGUAAUGACUUUCGGUUUGAAAAACGUCGGCGCUACGUAUCAGCGAGCCAUGAAUUACAUAUUUCACAAACUUAUUGGCAUACUGGUCGAAAUUUACAUCGAUGAUGUCGUAGUCAAAUCAAAAGGACACCAGGAGCAUCUAACUAAUUUGCGGUAGGUACUGGAAUGCACGAAGAAACAUGGGAUGAAGAUGAACCCGAAUAAGUGUGCCUUCGGUGUAUUUGCCGGACAAUUCUUAGGAUUCAUGGUUCACGAGCCGGGGAUAGAAAUCAACCGGAAGACCAUAGCGGCCAUUAAUAAAGUCGUGGCCCCGCAAAAUAAGACUGAGUUGCAGUCCCUAAUCGGCAAGGUGAAUUUCAUCAGAAGAUUCAUAUCUAAUCUAUCCGGGUGUAUCCAAGCCUUCACACCAUUGUUAAAGUUGAAGCCCGACCAAGAGUUUGUAUGGGGAGAAGAGCAACGCAAGGCACUAGAAGAUAUCAAGCAGUACUUGGUCUCACCACCAGUAUUGGUCCCACCUCAAACUGGUAAACCGUUUAAACUAUAUUUAUCAGCUGAUGAACGAGCUAUCGGGUCGGCUCUGGUCCAGGAGUUUGAGGGAAAAGAACGGAUAAUAUAUUAUGUCAGCAGAAGGCUUCUAGACGCCGAAACAAGAUAUCCCCCAGUGGAGCGGCUAUGCCUAUGCCUGUACUUCUCAUGCACCAAACUCAGGCACUAUUUGUUAUCGGCAGAAUGUGUAGUCGUAUGCAAAGAUAAGGAGGUAAAAUACAUGCUAUCGUUGCCGAUCUUGGAAGGAUGAAUCGGAAAAUGGAUCUUGGCUUUAUCGGAAUUCGAUCUACGACAUGAAUCGGCAAAGGCCGUCAAGGGUCAGGUUAUGGCCAAUUUCGUUGCCCAGCACUGCGGACCAGAGACUACCAUCGUGGAACCAGUGCCAUGGACCUUAUACUUUGACGGUUCGUCGUGUGGGGCCGAAUCAGGAAUCGGCAUCGUUCUCAUAUCGCCUCGGGGGGCAAGCUAUGAUUUCUCUCUACCGAUAGAAGCAUCCGCGACUAACAACCAAGUAGAGUACCGAGCUGUGUUGAAGGGGUUACAAUUAUUGAGGGAAAUCAAGGCCGAUGCCGUCGAGAUUUUUGGGGAUUCCAUGCUUAUCGUGGACCAAUUAAUAGGAAGGUCUGAAUGCAAGGAUGAUAUAUUGAGGAUUUAUUAUGAGGAUUUCCUUCAACAUCUGAAAGAAUUCAAGUCCGCGUUUAUUGAGCACAUCCCUAGGAAUCAUAACGAGGAUGCCAACAGGCUUGCCCAACAUGCGUCCAGAUAUCGGCCAAUUUAGGGCGCUAUGGCUCUAGAGCUCGCGGCCGACGACUGGCGAAAAGAGAUUGCCGAUUACCUGAAAGAUCCAUCUAAAAAAGUGGAUCGGCGGAUACGAUUUCAAGCCACAAAAUAUGUGUUACUAGAAGAUGACUUGUUCUACCGGACGAUUGAUGGUGUUCUACUCAAAUGCCUAGGAACAGAGGAAGCGAAGACUCUGAUGGGAGAAAUACACGAAGGGGUGUGUGGAGCCCACCAAUCGGCACAUAAGAUGAAAUGGAUGAUUAGGAAUAAUGGGUACUACUGGCCGACAAUCCUCGAAGACUGCUUCAAAUAUUAUAAAGGAUGCCAGGAUUGUCAGAAAUACGGGAAUGUUCAGCGUGCGCCCCGCAUCGGCCAUGAAUCCUAUUAUCAAACCGUGGCCGUUCAGAGGUUGGGGAAUAGACCUCAUCGGGCAAGUUUAUCCUCCGUCAAGCAAAGGGCAUAAAUUCAUUCUAGUAGCCACAAAUUAUUUCACCAAAUGGGCGGAGGCGAUUCCGCUAAAAGCCGUAACAUCGGCCGCCAUGGUUGACUUUGUAAGGGACCAUAUCGUCUACCGUUUCGGCAUUCCCCAGACUAUCACGACCGAUCAAGGAACGAUGUUUACAUCAAGAGAAUUUGAAGAGUUCACGGCCGAUAUGGGAAUCAAAUUGCUAAACUCCUCUCCGUACUAUGCCCAAGCUAAUGGUCAGGCCGAAUCUUCCAACAAAGGGAUAAUUAAGUUAAUCAAGAGGAAGAUAGAAGAACAGCCGAAAAAAUGGCAUUUAUGUUUGACCGAGGCCCUAUGGGCAUACAGGAUGGCUUGCCACGGGGCCACCAAGAUGUCCCCUUAUCAGUUGGUGUACGGCCACGAGGCAGUACUGCCAUGGGAAUUGAGGACAGGAUCGAGACGCACUUCGCUCCAAGAUCAGUUGAUGGCCGAUGAUUACUCCUCACUAAUGAAAAGGGAACUUGAUGACUUGGCAGGCCAACGAUUGAGAGCUUUGAUCAGUAUUGAAGAAAACAAGAAGAAAGUGGCCAGAUGGUAUGACAAGAAGGUCAAGGUCAAGCAGUUCUCUCCGGGGGACCUGGUAUGAAAGUUAGUGCUGCCGAUUGGGUCAAAGGAUCCUAAAUUCGGUAAGUGGUCUCCCACGUGGGAAGGGCCGUAUAGAAUCGGCCGGUGUGCUCCAGGAAACGCUUACAUUCUGGAAACGAUCGAAGGAGAAGAAUUUACUAGGACUUUGAAUGGUAGAUACUUGAAAAGGUAUUACCCUAGUAUAUGGGUCGGAGCGUAAGGAUCGACCGCAGAAUAUGAUAAACAAACAUACAGCCGAUACAAGAGAAAAUCGCCUAAAGGGAAAAUAUAAUCGUCCAAAUCGGCCGAUUUAUCUUUCGGUACGGACGAUGGGUCACACGGCCGACACAGUACAAGUCGCCCUUAGAACAAAAAUAAUUAACCACGCUUCUUCUUAAGUUCUCUCUCAACCCGGCCUAAUUCUAUCAGAAGACGGAUGUGCCGUUCUUCUAUGUCUUUCAUCACGGCUUCCGCCUCAACUUGACGGGGAAGAGGAUGACUCCGGUCACUUGCCGGGCGUGAUGUCCCUGCCACCGCGUCUUCAAGAGCAACUUGACUAGGAAGCGGGUGGCUCCUGUCAGUUCGAGGUCGCCUGCGGUCGUUACCGUCAAGGAAGUCCCAGAUCCGUUGGACAUCGGCAGGGACGUGUUCCUUGAGUUCUUCAUGGUGAGCCCUAAUUAGAUCCUUGUCUUCUUGCGACAAUGGUUCGUCAGAAUACACGAGCCCGAUGGCUCGUUCGAGUUCAGGACUAAGAUGCCGUGGCUGGGAAAAGAGACAAUACAUAACCGCCUGAAGAUGAGGUGUUUCAAAAGAAUUGAACUGGGAGAAAGGCUGGGGUAGGUCUUUUACCUAGUUAACAGAGGAAAAAGAAGAAGACGAAAAAGACAUGACCGGAGAACGCGCCGACGGAAACAAGUCAGGGAAAGAGAGGACCAAGUUAAAUGGGUGCUCUCAAAAGCGGAACCAAGGCCUGUAUUUAUAAGGGGAGAAAGCGUGGAUGUUUGGUAAGACGCGUCCCAUCAGAAGUAAAAAGGAUAAUAAAUAAGAGAGCACCAUGAAGGACGGUCAAAGGAGGCAUUUAUGUUCGUACAAAACUACCAGUACUUUUACAGAUCGCCCAGAAGAGCGUUGAUGGCCGCAAUCGCUCGACGCCGGAUCUGAUCGACCGAGUCCAGGACCCGUUGGUCAUCUUUUGCCGAUCCUGAGACUUGUGACAUAUGGUGGUGGAGUCUAAGGGCUUCGUGAGCCAGAUGGUGCCUCUCCCGCUUCAAAUCGGCGAUGACGGAAGGGAGUUCCUGAAGCCUCUUCUCUUCGGUGGCUAUUUCCUUAGUCACUUGCUCCAUCUCCUUGGCGAGUUCUGCUCUUCGGCGUUUGAGGCGGUCUAUCGUGCCAACGAUUCCAGGGUGGGAGUUCUCUAGAAAAUGAAUCCGUUGAUGCACCUCUUGAGCCUGACGCUUGUAUGAAUCUUCUUCUUCACGAGUUUUGGUCAGUUUGGCGUGAUCGGCCAUGUGACGCAGAGCCCUGAAGAUCGGAAUCUGCAUUGACUCGAUGUAAGCGGCCGGCGCCAAAGCUUCUUCUGCUUCCUCUGGGACUCGCCCGCUGACGUCACUAAAGAGUUGCCGAAUCAGCGAAGCGUCUUCUACCAAUCGGCCGACGUCCUCUUGAAGAAGGGAUCGUAUGCUUUCAAGCUUGGCACUGACGUCGUCAGGGACGGAGCUCAAGGCGACUUGACGGGAAGCAACUUCUUCAUCAUCGGAAAGUGCGACCGCAAACGAGAAGAGGCUGUUAUUAGGGGUGUCCUGUUCCUGUAAAAUAGCAAAUGAAAUGAGAACAAGUCAGCCGAUGGUAGUAACAAAUCGGCCAAUCAAGGGUGGGAGAUCUCUUACCUCUUUGAAACGGAUUUCUUCCACCUGCGUUUGUGAGACCGCCACCCUCGACUCUGGAACUGGCACUAGUGGCUCGUUAGAAGAAGAAGACUCAACGACAAUCGGCGAUCUGCUCGGGCCAUUUUCUUGAAGAGUGGCCAAUGGUUGAUCAGGCAAUGCUCUUAGCGUACCGGUAACCUGUGUCAAAGUUAGUAAAAGCGUUACCCAAAUACUAGAAGAUCGGGUUGAAGGAUUGUAUACCUCAGUAACAGGGGGCGCUGGCAUCUCGUUAGCUAUUUGGGUUACUGCCGAUUGCUGAGGGUUCACAAGGGUAGUCUGUGCAGCCUAAUAUAAGAGGAGUCAGUAUGGAGAUAGCAAUCGGGAAGAACGGACAGUGAGUUUACCUGCAUAGCCUCCACCAAUAAUGAUGCGGCGGCUGCUCCGACCUCUGUGGCAACUUGAAUGUCUACCUCUUCAUCAGUCGGAAGGGUCGGCAUGGCCAAAGUUUCUGCCAAUGUAAUCAUGGGUGGAUCGGCCGAUUCUAUACGAGCACGCACUCGGUGACUGGUCUUCUUGACAACUUUCUUCUGCGCCUGUUUUGCUCGACCGGCGAUGACGUCUACAGAAGGGGCAUGAUAGCCGAUGAGGGGAAAUAUGGUAUAUGGAUAACGGUCCUCUAUCGACCGACCACGCCGGCUGCAUUUUGGGGGAGCGUGGCUUUCAGACUGGAUCAACAGGAAGAGUCAGUAUAUAUGUGUAAAAAUAAGGGAAAAUGAAAAUCGGCUGGGCAAAAGAAGAAUACCUCGACGUUCGGAUCGAUGUUGGCUGGAUCCAGGAGAUUGCAGUAUACUGAUGCAGAGGCGCAGAAGAGGUGUUGUUUCCAUUUGGCCCACCAUAGCUUAAAUUGCUGAACAGCGAAAGGGGCUACUAUCCAUCCAUUCAGGUCUAUGGUACUGGAGUCUGGAAUCCGAUCUCGCAGCCGAUUAUAGUCAAGACCCUUGGUGAGUUCAUCUCUGAACUUUGCUCGGCCGGAGAAGUAUGCAUAAAUCGGCAAUUGACCCAUGCCGAAUUGCCGUGCUACGACGGAAGGGUUGUAGAACUCGUAAGUAGGGGCCUCUUUCCCCAAGAAGAGGUUUGCCGGUAAGAUCCCCGGUUUGAUCAAUUCAUCUGUAAGGUCUUCAUUGAAUCAGCCGGUGGUUGAGUCAAAGCAAGAAGGGAGCUCAAAGGUCGGGUCAUCCCUCUGAUAAGGGAACCAACUGGUUGCGUCUUCGCUGAAGCCGUUAUAAAAGCACCUGAAGUAUUCGGCCACCUUGGUAACAGAAUAUGGGCAACCGGAAAAGGCCGAUGCUGCUUCACCGAAGGACGUACAUCAGCGUCGGACGGUGGGAUUUUCUGCCGAUUCGAUGUUGGGGAAUGUCAUGUGCUCCACUCGCUGCUGAGAGAUUUUGCUCAUGUACAGAUUAAGCCAUAAGUUGAUAAACCACCAGGGUCCACCAAGAUUUCCAAUCGGCUCCCCUUAGAAUAGUUUAACGCCGAUUUGGUGCAGCAUGUGAUAAGCUGCUCCCAGUAGGUGUUUGCCAAGAGGAACGGAGGCCCCUGUCGAUAACGCCUCGGCCAGAGCUUGCGUGUUGGUGGAUGGACCGACUGCUCCCCCACAGAAAAGAUGUUUCUCUAGCCACAUCAUCAGGAAGGCCGUGUGCUCUCUGUUCUCGACUGAUCCGGCCCUUUUGUUGCAUCUGAUGAAUCCCUUCCAUCCGCCGAUUCCCUUUGUGUCCAGCCGAUGGGAUGUCAUGGCCAAAAGGCGAAAAGGGGUGUCUAGAGAAGAAAUGUCAAGGCCGGUCAACAGGACCACAUCGGCCAAGGUGGGAGUCAUAGGUCCGUGUCCGAAGAGAAAUGCAUUGAGGGCGUCGGACCAGAAGUAAGAGGCUGCUAUCACUAAUGGCUCGUUCCUUUCCAUUUGGGACAAAGAUAGAUCGAUGCACUGGCCAAUUUUGCGCUCAUCCCAUUGGACCCUCUUAGAGGCGGCUAUCCGUUGGUACCAUUCUCUCCAGCCGGGGGUUUCAUUCGGCCAUGACCUGAAGGUACCCGACCAAUGAUCUAGGUCCAUAGUUGAUUGCUUAAAAGGGAUCCUAUGGGUUUCCAAGUUGAUUAGGUUGGCUGGAUCUGGGUUUCCCAUGGGACCAAGGCAGAUAAGGCCGGGAGUUUCUGUAAGGCGAAUGGUAAUCUGAUGCCUAACCGCCUAAAAAAGGAAAAAGGGGGGUGCAGAAGUAAGAAUAGAUCUAAAGUAAAUGCAUUACUAUUAAGGAAAGUUUCGGUAAUGACCUCCGGGAUGAAGCUCAUCGUAGUCGGCGGGAUUGCCGUUGGAGCUGCAGAUGAUGAAGUCGCCAAAGGGAUUUCGGUUGAAGCCCCAACUCCCGCUAAUGGAGUUCCUUCUCCCGUCAAUGGAGUCGCCGCCGUUGCCGCUGGAACCUCCACCGGUGGAGCCAUCUCCGGAGCUUCGGGCGUUGGUGAAGUUCCUGAAGGUACCGCCAUUGGAGAAGUAGGGAGGAAUGUGGAUGAAAAGAGAUGCCGGGGAAAAAAAGCUGGAAGCUAAGGAAGGCGCUGGAGGAAGAAGAAGGCCCGUGCGCUAAAAAGGGAAGACGUGAGCUCGUAAGGGGAGUACGAGAUGUGCUGAUAUUUAAAGGUGGUCUGAGAAGGGGUAAAAGCGGAAUUUUUACUGCGCCGGUGUUUCGAUUUUUUUAGGAGGAGUGGUUGUCGUGGGCGCCCGUUUCGAAAAGAUUGCAAUCAUCAGGCUGGAGACCGCAAAACGGAAGGAUAUUUUCAAUGCGUUUGUUUCGGAAGGGAAGUUGAAAAGAAUUUCGAAGUAAAGACUAUGUUUUACUCCGAAACUGGGGGGCAUGUGUUGACGCCAGAUUUUGACACGUAUGAAAUCGGCGUUAGGAGAAGAAGAAAUCAGGAGAUACGGCAGGUUACAGAGGUCACAGUUGGAAAUCGGCCGAUUGAUGCUACAGUCAAGGAUCGGCCGAUUGCUCUUUAAGGGUGCAACUCCGCCUCGCCCGACCCCUGAGUCCUAGGGUUGGAUGCGCCCGACCCUCUGAGGGAGGGACUCCGCCUCGCCCGACCUUAGGUCCCAGGGUCGGAGUAGUCAGAACCCCUGACAUGUGGGCCGUAAUCGGCUAUCCCUUGCCGAUUGGAGUUGGUAGAAAUCGGCUGAUUGGGAGGCUGGAGUAAUUGGGCCGAUGUGGGCUUGUAGUGGAUUAUGAAGAUAAAGAGGGAGUCAGCCCAUGAGAGCGUGGUGAUCGACCCAGUACGAGUCGUACUUGUAAAUAUUCGUUUUUUGUUUAAAAUUAGAGAUAGAGUUCUAGUCGGUUAAGAAGUCGUUUGUAACAGGCUAUAAAUCGCCACCCUUGUAGAUCUGUAAUCAUCAUCAAAUCAAUACAACAAACUACUAUUUCCUUGUACUUACUUUCAAGCAGGUGACUUCGCCAAUACUUUUCUUCUUUCUCACGAGUUCGUACGGGUUGGCGGGGCUGCAUCAACUUGACCUCCGGCCGAUCUUGUAAGUUCCGCUUAUCGAAUAGUUUCUAAGCUUUAACUUCGGGCGCAUCGCUGUCGUUUCAUUUAGAUUUAUUCACCAGUUAUCGAUAUUCACUAGAAUUCUAGGUUUUACCUGUUGUUCUAGUUUUAUCACCAGUUAUCCAGCUAGGAAUUGGAACUUUCGGCUUUCCUGUACUUCGUCAUUCGAUCUAUUCGUUUUACUUCGGCUUUCCUGUAGUGUUGUUUAGACUUCUCCAGUAGUCUUCUUUAUUAACGCUGCCCGGUAAUCGGCUGUAUUAUAGCCGAUUUCUUUAUCACAGCAAAUCGGUCGAUUCGCUGAUAAGCUAUCUCGACAUCGGAACCUUAGCCGAUCGCAACCUUUAGAAUCUGACACAUUUCUUUCCUUGCCAAUCAACAGGUCAGAUUGGCUGGCACGCCGCGCGAACCGCACCAGGGCGAUCACCCGAACAGGAGUUAAGCAAAUUCUCCCGGGUCGUGUGUCCGACGCUGGGAUUCCGAUCAGCCGAUUUCUAGCGCCAACAGCUUCUUUGAAAUUUUCCCAAGUGAUCUCCCUUCCAACAGGUUGCCUUGCCAAAUAACUGGUCCACCAGGUCCCGGCGGGACCCUGGAGUUGGAGCCCGGCAAACUCCGCCUUCUGGGUGGUGGUGCAUUGUGGAAUCACCCGGAAUUUCUGCUCCAUCGUCUGAAGCCAUUCAUUCGCCUCUAGUGGGUGCUCGGCUUUCAGAAAAAUCGGAGGACGAGUUUCCAGAAAUUGGGUGUAAGAUACACCACGUUCUGGGUCCCGUCUGUUCCCACCAUUUCCAGUGUUCUGCACAAUCAUCUGAAGCAGUCGGGCUUGUUCAGCUCCUGAAUUCAUGAGGCUGGCUAUGGCAUCAGCCAGCGUUGGGGCCCUGGGUAAAUUUUCCUCGUGGCCCCCUGACCCCGAAGCCCGAAGACCUCUCGGAUCCGUCACUCUGCCAAAAAUCAAACAAAGUAUUAAUAUUUAAACCAUAGUUUGUCAGCAGUUCCAUGAGCAUGCUUGUAUUUCACACAUAACAACACAGCUAUUGCAGUUACACACAAACCACACUUAUAUACAUCAUUAUUUAUAUUACAUGAACUGGAGUUUAAUUUUUACAAAGCAACCUCACUACGCCAUCCCACUGCUUUUAUCUUACAUAAGUGCACCACAACAUUCCCUGGCUAGGGUCUUUUCUCAGCCAUCAUAGGGAUAAAUGCCCAGCUCUGCAGCAUUUAUUCCUAGUCGUGCCAUCGUAGCCUGCAGAAUAUCCUGAUCCACCGUCAUCAAUGUUUGUCCUGGAGGAGCGACAGGUGGAGGUUGAUUCACUGAGUUCUCGCUCUCUGACUCUGGUCUGGGAUCGCUUGAGGUAUAGGAGGAAUAUGAUGCGGAGGUGCUGACGCCAGAAUUUCCUUCCAUUUCUUCUGGGUCCUCUUCUUCUUCCUCGCCUUCUUGCUCGGCUUCACCCCACUGUUGCAUAGGACCAUAGCCUUGUGGAUCGAACCCAUCUGCAUUUGCAUCGGCCCAUGCAAAUUGAUGGUUUUCCACCGGAGCUUCCCCUAGAUUAUCUUCCAUGUCAAUAUCAAACCCUUCUAAAUUCUCAUGGGCCUACAAGUUGAUCUCAAGAGCUGCAGGUGGAGCUAUAUUAGCCUCAACACCCACAAUAUCCACAAACUGAUCUGCUUCUUCUGGGGCUGGCGGUUGUGGUUCUUCUGGUGGUGGAGGCGGUGGAACAUUUACUAUGUUCUGAGCAGGUACUUGAGCCUGCAUUUCUUCUAAGGCCAGAUGAAGAGAUAAUAUUUCGUCCAGCUGUUGAAAUCUCUCCGCCUUGAGUCUAUUAACAUUUGAUUCAGCCACUUCUUUUGCCCUCUCUGCCGUAUUUCUACUAGCAUCCAUGAAUUCCUUCAUUGUUCUGAGCUUUUCUUCAUAUUCAUCUAUUCUUCUGGACUGUUCUCUCAUAAUAUUUUCCAUAUCAUGUUCCUAGCCAGUGCUGCUUUCUUGUAUAAUUCUUUAUCAUGUCUGGCACCCAUUACCUCCAUCUUGACAUCCUCAUUCCUCUUUCUUUGAUUAUAAUACUCGCUUAUGCAAGAUUGUUGAAGGUUAUACAUAGCGGUCAUGUAGUCGGAGGUAGCAGCAACCAGAACAUCAUGCUCCACGUGAGAGGAAUUCUUUAAUGCUUUGAUCCUCCUUUUCCAAAUCCCAUCAUCUUGAUGCUUUAUGGGAUAGAAUCGAGCAGAGCUAGACCCUAUUUCCAUCUUAUGUUUCUCGCAUAAGUCCGUGAGGGCGGUCAUGGCUGCCCUUUCAAUUGUAUCAUUGAACUCGAAACCCUGCUCCAUAACUUCAUCAAGAUGCCAGUUAGGGUUUGUGUCUUCAUCUAGGAUAUGGACAUAAAUAGUACAACACUACUUAUGACAGGUGUCCUCCUUCCUCCAAUAAUAUUCCAGAGGGUUGUGAAAGCCCAACACCUGCAGCGUUUUCCACAAUAACUAUACAAACCCGAGCUUAUCCAGGUAAUGCCCCCGGGUCCAUGCGUCCUGAUUAGUAUAUCCUUCUUAGAACAUCCUAUAAAAGAAACGGGGUUAGGUCUAACGACACUCACCAAAUCCAAAAGUUUUUAAGACAUGCUUAUGAAACAUGAUGCAACGGUUCCUACGUGCUCCCAGACUCAUAUACACACUCGUAGAAAAAUUGGUGGCAUUGUAAUCUCUCCCUAAUAAUAUACUAUCGAAUACUAGUGACACGAAGCAAACAGUUAGCAUCUGCAAAACAAACAACCAAUUAAUACUACUGCCACCUAUGACUCACAUUUUCUUCGUUUAAAGUAGAGUCUCAGUUUUUCAACAGUAAUAUCUGUUGAUUAUCCCAACCUAUGGCUCUAAUACUAGCUGUGGCGGAACCGUCCAACUUAAACUGGUUUAAAUGCGCCUAAUCGCUGUCGGAACAGCAAUUAUCCGAAACGCACUUAAAACAGUAUAAGUCCGGUAGUCCGUCGAGUGUCCCUAGGACUCCUCGAAAGAUCCACGUCUUGUCUCAUAGCCAUACACUAGGAUCAUUUCCACGAUGGGAAAGCAUCAACAUAUAUUACAUUUUUACAUACAUACCGGGGUAUGAAUUAUUACAGGACAUAGUUUGAAAUAAACUUAACAGUGCAGGUCAGAGAGAUUCUAGGAGUUUAAAACAUAAACUGCUCCAGGUGAGAGAUGAACAUUUAAGUUUUUCUUCUGAGGGUAUUGCGAGACUCGUAACAAUACCCUAGUUUUUCGGGGCUUCCUCCUCUCCAGACUCCUGCGGUGCUUCUGAAACAGCCACAAGGGAUAACCCUGAGUACGGGGUACUCAGCAAGGCUUACCCGACUAACCAAUAUAAUAGUUUUUUUGGAACUACAUGAUAGCUGUUUAGUGUACUGGCCGACUCACCUUUUGCUAAAAGAGCUUACUAAAAAGAGAGACCUUAGCUUUAUCUUUUAACUCAAUUAAGUUGUUACCUAACCAAUCUAAAUGAUGACAAGAAGAUACUUUCGCAAGCAGAGAGAAAUUAAGUCAUACAACAAAUUAUUAUUGGAAAGACAUUGCAUUCAUGAAGAUAUACUACGAUGCUCAACAGUGAUCAAGAGCAUUCAUAACUGAGAAUUGCGGCGAUCCGGAUCAAUUUACAUCCUGCAGGAGAUCACCCUGAUCACCAGCUAUGUACUGGGUCGUAUGUAAUGACCUUCAAUUAGCAAACCCAAGGAUUGGGAAUAAGACUACCCGAACCCAGGGAUGCACCCUCACAUGGGACCCCACGUCUGGCCUGAUCUCCAUGUGAGUUUUAGGCUACGCCCCUGCCAAUCUCCAGCACGUCAAGCACGGGUACGAAACAUUCCCGAUCAGAGAGUCUACUAACCUACCGGGCUUUACUGGUCCCAUACCCAGUAAGCAAUCAGGUGAUAAUCACUUGAUCAAAGGUUAAGACAACGAUCGGGCCUUAACCAAAUUAAUCUAGCAGACAGAACUAACCUCUCUAGCUUCUAUCUGCCUUAAAACAUCCAAGCUACCUUUACAUACUAGCAUGUAUGACUCAACAUUUCACCUUAAGGUUCGGUAACCCAGUUACUUUAAGUAUCUAAGCAUUUCUAAACUUGGGUUACUUACUAAUUGUUUGAACAAGGGGCAAAGAUGUCCUUAAAAUAAGGUAAGAUCAUGCACAAGAAUGGGUUUCAAUCAACUCCUAGACUUAAUGCAUUCAUAUAGAAAUUAACCAAUAAUUGGACACAUGAAAUAAUAAUUCCAAAGUAGAUAGGUAUAAAUGCACCGUGGCUUGCCUUGUUCUAUAAAAAUGUUAGCACUGUCCGACGGAUUGGCUUCACAGGGGAUCAAUUCAACGAUCUCCUCAAACUCCGAAGAUCCUUCUGAUAAUUCCAGGAAUUCCUCUUCAGGUGCUUCGGUGUCUACGAUACAGCAUAUGCAUGGCUUAGUGAUGCAACUUUUUGAAUACAAGACUAUACAACUUUCCUUCAUGAUAAAGUUGCAAGCCAACAAGUGACUACACAAUUUUAUCAUGAUAAAGUUGCAAGCCAACACACCUUAGGCUUUUUCUUUUAUUUUUGGAAAAUAUGAUAAUUAUUUUCUAGUCUCAAAACCUAAUUUCCUAUGGGUUAAUAAUAAUUUGUGAACAUGAAAACAUUAUUCCAUAUUUUAUGCAUUUAAUAAAGGUUAAGUAUUUAUUUAAAUCCCUUAAUGAAAAGGCAUUAAACAAAUAUCUCAGUUUUUAUUAUUUUUCCUAAGGUACAAGAAUUUGAAUGCAUAAAGGAAAAUAAAACAAUCCUAACAAAAUUGGUUUCACUAAUUUUGGACACUCCUAGAAAUUUCUGUGAUUUAAAUGGUGAUAUACGAAUUUAAUCUAUUAUUCUAAAAAAAGAAAAUCUUAAUUUUAUCCCAAAACCCCCGGCCCAACUUUUCUCACUCGCUCCCUCUCUACCCUCUCUCACUCGCGCUAGGCCCGCGGCUCGGGUCCACCUUCUCCUCCUAUUCCUUCUACCCGUCAGCCACUGGGCCCUCUGGGCUGACUCUCUUUCCCCCUCCUCCAUUCCUACUCCGGUGCCGGCCCAAUGGCCCAACUCCUUUUUCUAUCUUUUCCGCGGCACCCAGCCUGCCACACCGGCCCAUCGGCCUGCUUCCGCUGCGCCCGGC